rnacentral:rRNA from 2 species
GCAGUCGACGAACUCUGGUAUUGAUUGGUGCUUGCAUCAUGAUUUACAUUUGAGUGAGUGGCGAACUGGUGAGUAACACGUGGGAAACCUGCCCAGAAGCGGGGGAUAACACCUGGAAACAGAUGCUAAUACCGCAUAACAACUUGGACCGCAUGGUCCGAGUUUGAAAGAUGGCUUCGGCUAUCACUUUUGGAUGGUCCCGCGGCGUAUUAGCUAGAUGGUGGGGUAACGGCUCACCAUGGCAAUGAUACGUAGCCGACCUGAGAGGGUAAUCGGCCACAUUGGGACUGAGACACGGCCCAAACUCCUACGGGAGGCAGCAGUAGGGAAUCUUCCACAAUGGACGAAAGUCUGAUGGAGCAACGCCGCGUGAGUGAAGAAGGGUUUCGGCUCGUAAAACUCUGUUGUUAAAGAAGAACAUAUCUGAGAGUAACUGUUCAGGUAUUGACGGUAUUUAACCAGAAAGCCACGGCUAACUACGUGCCAGCAGCCGCGGUAAUACGUAGGUGGCAAGCGUUGUCCGGAUUUAUUGGGCGUAAAGCGAGCGCAGGCGGUUUUUUAAGUCUGAUGUGAAAGCCUUCGGCUCAACCGAAGAAGUGCAUCGGAAACUGGGAAACUUGAGUGCAGAAGAGGACAGUGGAACUCCAUGUGUAGCGGUGAAAUGCGUAGAUAUAUGGAAGAACACCAGUGGCGAAAGGCGGCUGUCUGGUCUGUAACUGACGCUGAGGCUCGAAAGUAUGGGUAGCAAACAGGAUUAGAUACCCUGGUAGUCCAUACCGUAACGAUGAUGCUAAGUGUUGGAGGGUUUCCGCCCUUUCAGUGCUGCAGCUAACGCAUUAAGCAUUCCGCCUGGGGGAGUACGGCCGCAAAGGCUGAAACUCAA